UCAUAAUCGGUUCGGAUCUCGCUGAAUUAAACGGUGCUGCGGAGGAGGUGGCGUAUAUAGGUAGAGGCGGUUGUGGCUCCGGUAACGGCGGCAUCGAAGGAGAGUGAUCGGAGACAGUGGAAACGCAACAGAAGGGAUGCAUGUGGUGGUGGUAGUAAGAGAAAAAGUCUUUAAGAUGAGAAAUCGAAUAGAUUGAGUCCGUUGGAUCCGAUGAUUGUGCGGCGGAUGAAGACGACGGUGGUGGAGAGAUGAGAGAGAGUAACGUUCAUGGCAGAGAGAGAGAGAUGAUUUUGAGAAUUGAUGAAGAAAG